CAGCAUUCUAGCAUAGAAGGGGGCGGGGCCCAUGAGGAGCUGUUGACAGUUGCUGGCUUCUAGGUAGGGCCGGUCAGUUUUCUUCAAAGGUAUGGACACCGGAUAGCUACAAGAAAGCGUGUUUCAUAUCCUCACCACAGAUGAUUUGGUCAUCACACGUUGUAUACAGGGAUUGAACAACGCACUGUUCCUCCUAGAAACAUGUACAAAAUGAUACCUUGGCUAAACAUAUAAGCAGCUUGCAAAAUUAUUUUAACAACACAAGGAGUCAAAAUGGACAGUGGCCAAGAUACAUUCCAAUGACGGAAUAGGAGCAUGGGCGGACAAGACUAUCAGUAACUCAUCAACAACCUGGCAUCUCAGUCGUCAUGACAUCCAGUCAUCUCACGUGCCAGUGAAAACCAAGGACAAAGAUGUUUAGUAACCUUUCUUAAGGCUGACAAUUAGCUGGUGCAAGGUCAGACACUCAGUUUGGAAAGGCCCUUGACAGAAACUUCUUAUUCCUGGAUAGAAUUUCACCCAAGACAGAGGAGGAAAUCCAUUUUGACAUAACACAUCCCUCCUCUGUCACCUUGCUUGGGUUGCUAUUUUAUAAUAAAUGUACUCUGGGUCUAGCUUCUUGCCUCUCA